rnacentral:sRNA from 1 species
GGCGGCGAAUGCAUCGGGAAUGUCUCGAAACCGGAUCUAUUCAAAAUUUCACGCUUCGAAUCCAUCAUCGGCGCCGACACAUCAUCCCUCUACAGCAUCAUUCUCGGACUAAUCGAAUUCGACAAAUCGCACACCGGAUUUUUCGUCGAAGAUCACGUCGAAGUGGUCGGUGGUGUUAACGCACAGAAAUGGGUCACAUGCAUUGAUGGAGCGACGGCUAACGAUACGAAGGUGCUGCUGGAGGUUCGAUACGCCGGAGAAGAGACGAUCAGACCGGCUCAAUCGCCAUUCUCCAACCCGUUGCUCCUCUCGAUCCGGCUCGCCGAGCUUCCGAACUUUAACAGCACGGUGGCGUUAAAUCAUGUAUCUGUGGAGCUUGAUCGUUAUGAGCUUCCCGUUGGAAAUGAGGCUGCGGUGGUUCAUGGUGUUUGGUGUAAGAAUCGAAACGAUACGGUUCUAGUUUUGAAGCCGCUCGAUGAAUAUGCGGCGAUUUUGAAUUAUUUCGAUCCGUCCACCAAUCGAUCUGAUGUAGUGGAGGUUUUAUACUCUAAAACCAAAAAAGUCAUCCAUAUCGCCGGGGAUUCGUUUGAAAAUGGCGUGAAACUAUUCAAAGCCACACCGAAACGCUAUAAAAAUGGCACCGACUACAUUCUCCAUGACUUCAACUAUGGAUACGAGUUCACGAUGAGCCACGGAGCCUGUCAGAGCUUCUCCCCGUUGGAUGAUAGCUCUGAGGAUGUGCUCGUGAAGAAUGGAACCGAUCAUUUUAUUAUGAACAAUAUGGAAUGGCUUUUGGUGGAUCCUGGAUUGAGAUUUUCUCUGUAUGAAAGUGAUGUUGAUAUGGUUGGAACGGCUUUUAAGACUUAUCGAGCUUAUGAUGGCCGAGAUGAGACGAUUGUGGAGCUUCAUGUGACUGAGGAUAUGGAGGUUCACUCGAUGGCGAGGUUUCGAAUGGGAUCCCGACAUCUUGCGGUCUCACUGACAGUUCAGAGGAUUCCGAUGGAGUCUUCUAGGCUUAACAUGAAAACUGUUCAGCUGUCGAAUUGUUAUGAUGAGCAAAAGUUUGCCAACAAUACGCUGAUGGUGCAGAUUAAAGAUA